GAUGAACGCUGGCGGCGUGCUUAACACAUGCAAGUCGAACGGGAAACCUUUUAUUGAAGCUUCGGCAGAUUUAGCUGGUUUCUAGUGGCGGACGGGUGAGUAACGCGUGGGUAACCUGCCUUAUACAGGGGGAUAACAGUCAGAAAUGGCUGCUAAUACCGCAUAAGCGCACAGAGCUGCAUGGCUCAGUGUGAAAAACUCCGGUGGUAUAAGAUGGACCCGCGUUGGAUUAGCUGGUUGGUGGGGUAACGGCCCACCAAGGCGACGAUCCAUAGCCGGCCUGAGAGGGGGAACGGCCAGAUUGGGACUGAGACACGGCCCAGACUCCUACGGGAGGCAGCAGUGGGGAAUAUUGCAAAAUGGGGGAAAACCUGAUGCAGCGACGCCGCGGGAAGGAAGAAGUAUCUCGGUAUGUAAACGUCUAUCAGAAGGGAAGAGAAGGACGGUACCUGACUAAGAAGCCCCGGCUAACUACGGG
rnacentral:rRNA from 1 species